rnacentral:rRNA from 1 species
GUUAUAUGGUCAAGUGAAGAAGCGCAUACGGUGGAUGCCUUGGCAGUCAGAGGCGAUGAAAGACGUGGUAGCCUGCGAAAAGCUUCGGGGAGUCGGCAAACAGACUGUGAUCCGGAGGUAUCUGAAUGGGGGAACCCAGCCAUCAUAAGAUGGUUAUCUUGUACUGAAUACAUAGGUGCAAGAGGCGAACCAGGGGAACUGAAACAUCUAAGUACCCUGAGGAAAAGAAAUCAACCGAGAUUCCCUUAGUAGUGGCGAGCGAACGGGGACCAGCCCUUAAGUUGUAUUGAGAUUAGCGGAACACUCUGGAAAGGGUGGCCAUAGUGGGUGAUAGCCCUGUACGCGAAAAUCCCUUUGCAAUGAAAUCGAGUAGGACGGGGCACGAGAAACCUUGUCUGAAUAUGGGGGGACCAUCCUCCAAGGCUAAAUACUACUGACUGACCGAUAGUGAACCAGUACCGUGAGGGAAAGGCGAAAAGAACCGCGGAGAGCGGAGUGAAAUAGAUCCUGAAACCGUAUGCGUACAAGCAGUGGGAGCCCACUUUGUUGGGUGACUGCGUACCUUUUGUAUAAUGGGUCAGCGACUUAUUUUCAGUGGCGAGCUUAACCGAAUAGGGGAGGCGUAGCGAAAGCGAGUCUUAAUAGGGCGUCUAGUCGCUGGGAAUAGACCCGAAACCGGGCGAUCUAUCCAUGGGCAGGUUGAAGGUUGGGUAACACUAACUGGAGGACCGAACCGACUACCGUUGAAAAGUUAGCGGAUGACCUGUGGAUCGGAGUGAAAGGCUAAUCAAGCUCGGAGAUAGCUGGUUCUCCUCGAAAGCUAUUUAGGUAGCGCCUCAUGUAUCACUGUAGGGGGUAGAGCACUGUUUCGGCUAGGGGGUCAUCCCGACUUACCAAACCGAUGCAAACUCCGAAUACCUACAAGUGCCGAGCAUGGGAGACACACGGCGGGUGCUAACGUCCGUCGUGAAAAGGGAAACAACCCAGACCGUCAGCUAAGGUCCCAAAGUCAUGGUUAAGUGGGAAACGAUGUGGGAAGGCUUAGACAGCUAGGAGGUUGGCUUAGAAGCAGCCACCCUUUAAAGAAAGCGUAAUAGCUCACUAGUCGAGUCGGCCUGCGCGGAAGAUGUAACGGGGCUCAAACCAUGCACCGAAGCUACGGGUAUCAUCUUUUGAUGAUGCGGUAGAGGAGCGUUCUGUAAGCCUGUGAAGGUGAGUUGAGAAGCUUGCUGGAGGUAUCAGAAGUGCGAAUGCUGACAUGAGUAACGACAAUGGGUGUGAAAAACACCCACGCCGAAAGACCAAGGUUUCCUGCGCAACGUUAAUCGACGCAGGGUUAGUCGGUCCCUAAGGCGAGGCUGAAAAGCGUAGUCGAUGGAAAACAGGUUAAUAUUCCUGUACUUCUGGUUAUUGCGAUGGAGGGACGGAGAAGGCUAGGCCAGCCUGGCGUUGGUUGUCCAGGUUUAAGGUGGUAGGCUGAGAUCUUAGGUAAAUCCGGGAUCUUAAGGCCGAGAGCUGAUGACGAGUGUUCUUUUAGAACACGAAGUGGUUGAUGCCAUGCUUCCAAGAAAAGCUUCUAAGCUUCAGGUAACCAGGAACCGUACCCCAAACCGACACAGGUGGUUGGGUAGAGAAUACCAAGGCGCUUGAGAGAACUCGGGUGAAGGAACUAGGCAAAAUGGCACCGUAACUUCGGGAGAAGGUGCGCCGGUGAGGGUGAAGCAUUUACUGCGUAAGCCCAUGCCGGUCGAAGAUACCAGGCCGCUGCGACUGUUUAUUAAAAACACAGCACUCUGCAAACACGAAAGUGGACGUAUAGGGUGUGACGCCUGCCCGGUGCCGGAAGGUUAAUUGAUGGGGUUAGCGCAAGCGAAGCUCUUGAUCGAAGCCCCGGUAAACGGCGGCCGUAACUAUAACGGUCCUAAGGUAGCGAAAUUCCUUGUCGGGUAAGUUCCGACCUGCACGAAUGGCGUAACGAUGGCGGCGCUGUCUCCACCCGAGACUCAGUGAAAUUGAAAUCGCUGUGAAGAUGCAGUGUAUCCGCGGCUAGACGGAAAGACCCCGUGAACCUUUACUAUAGCUUUGCACUGGACUUUGAAUUUGCUUGUGUAGGAUAGGUGGGAGGCUUUGAAGCGUGGACGCCAGUCUGCGUGGAGCCAACCUUGAAAUACCACCCUGGCAACUUUGAGGUUCUAACUCAGGUCCGUUAUCCGGAUCGAGGACAGUGUAUGGUGGGUAGUUUGACUGGGGCGGUCUCCUCCUAAAGAGUAACGGAGGAGUACGAAGGUGCGCUCAGACCGGUCGGAAAUCGGUCGUAGAGUAUAAAGGCAAAAGCGCGCUUGACUGCGAGACAGACACGUCGAGCAGGUACGAAAGUAGGUCUUAGUGAUCCGGUGGUUCUGUAUGGAAGGGCCAUCGCUCAACGGAUAAAAGGUACUCCGGGGAUAACAGGCUGAUACCGCCCAAGAGUUCAUAUCGACGGCGGUGUUUGGCACCUCGAUGUCGGCUCAUCACAUCCUGGGGCUGAAGCCGGUCCCAAGGGUAUGGCUGUUCGCCAUUUAAAGUGGUACGCGAGCUGGGUUUAGAACGUCGUGAGACAGUUCGGUCCCUAUCUGCCGUGGACGUUUGAGAUUUGAGAGGGGCUGCUCCUAGUACGAGAGGACCGGAGUGGACGAACCUCUGGUGUUCCGGUUGUCACGCCAGUGGCAUUGCCGGGUAGCUAUGUUCGGAAAAGAUAACCGCUGAAAGCAUCUAAGCGGGAAACUUGCCUCAAGAUGAGAUCUCACUGGAACCUUAAGUUCCCUAAAGGGCCGUCGAAGACUACGACGUUGAUAGGUUGGGUGUGUAAGCGCUGUGAGGCGUUGAGCUAACCAAUACUAAUUGCCCGUGAGGCUUGACCAUAUAACACCCAAGCAAUU